rnacentral:lncRNA from 1 species
ACUUUAACUGAUGGUGCUAAUUAUAGCUUAUUUAAUCACACAGAGUAACUUUUUUUAGAUGUUGAUGGACCUUUAUUUUAUUCCUUUAUCUAUAUGCCCCGCAGAGAAGUGAACUCAGGGCUUUACACAGGGCGGGCAAGUGCUCUACCACUGAGCUACAACCCCAGUCCCUACACAAACUUUUUGAAAUUUACCUUCCAGGAAACUUCUGCCACGUACUCAGACAUUCUACAGCUUUUUUCCCAUCCUUAGCUUUGUCCUGUCUUUCAUCUUGGACUUUAGCAUAAGAAUAUUACUUUACCAUGCAAAAUACUUUCUUAUCCAGAAACAUUUAUUUUACCUUCUAGUUUUCCACAUUAAAAUAUAUUUCUAUACCUAUAACUUUCUUAUAUCUCUGCUAGUUUCAGACCCUUUCUUAAAUGCACAUUCUGAAUCAAUCCUUAUGAAUGUUAUCUGUGCAUUUAAUUUAUACAGCAUAUUUCAUCCCAGGAGAUGGUCAGACAAUCUGGUAUAUACAAAAACUACGUCUUAAUCUUUUUCUCCCUGGUUACAUUCAAGGGGCUGGAGCACAGGAUAUUUUUAAGUCUGACAUAUCUCCCUUAUCAUUCUCAUGAUGUCUUCAACUUUAAGUGAGUUUUCUACUGUCAUUUAU